AUUGUACCAUGGUUUGGCCAGCUUAAAGUGGGCUUAAGCAAAUUGUCGUAUCAGUAUCUGAUAUGGUCAUUUACUUGGGUAGUUGAAAAUCUAUAUCUGCCCUCAUAGAUGGAAGUUUGUAACAGUGUCACAAAGGAUGACACGAAAAAUCUUUACAUUUCAUGAUUUAUUUGAUUUUCUCUCUUAUCUAUCAUAAUGUUUAGUUGAUUUUCCGUGCUAACAUAUCAUUUUCUUAAACAUAUAAAUUGUUUUCAUAAUGGUGAGAUAGGUAAACGAGGAAGUUAAACGAUAAGAUAAAAUAAUAAAUUUUUGAAAUUUUACGAUAUU
rnacentral:lncRNA from 1 species